UGGUGUGUGUGUGUGUGUGGCAGAGGGCAGCCACGUUUGCUGUCACUCAGUCAGAAUGCGCAGUCAUCCAACUACCAUUUUCGAAUCUGUCGGUAAAUAAAGCAGACUAUAUUGAUACAAGUCACCUUGUCUGAGAGAGAUUUACAUGGUUAUCCAAACGUCACGCCAGGCACUUCCAUGUCAUUCUUGACAACAAGGAUGGGAUGCUGACCUUCAUCUGCUGACUGCUCCUGAGGACCUGGGUAAACUGUGCACAGGAGUAACCCCCAUUGGGUACUCAGGGCAAACCACACUCCAAGAGUGAGCAGAUGGAACCCGCCUAAGAUCCAAGUAGGACGCAUCAGCAGGUUACAGCAUCCUGAACAUAGACAUAGACUAUAGAGGUGAGAAUGUUUUUUUUUUCUUGAAAGCAAUUAUUUCUGUAAAAGCCAGUAGCAACUGGUGGGCCUUAGGCAACAAGACUAGUGUGGGAGGCUAUGAGGAGCACCCUCAAUUAGGUGAGCCUGGUGACCGGCAACCACACUCCAAGAGUGAGCAGAUGGAACCCGCCUAAGAUCCAAGUAGGACGCAUCAGCAGGUGUAUACAGCAUCCUGAACAUAGACUAUAGAGAUUGGGUCUGCUGGAUGGUUGAGAUUUCUCCCUAAGAAUUAGCCAUCUACCUCCCUGACCCUGUAACUCUGCGGCGAGGUCAUCGAUAUGAUGGGAGAGUAUAAGCCAAUUAGAUACAAUUAUUUCAACUAUGUGUUAUUCUCUAUGACAUGUUUCUUAGAAGUUGUAUUAAUACUAUUGGUAGAAGUAAUAAUUUGUCAUACAGUAAAUAUUUUGUCUGGAUUUCCUGAGACAGAAAUGCCCUAAACUGUUCUGAUCUGUCUUGUCUUGGGGUUAUGCUGAAGGUGACCACAGAUGGUAUCUAGAUACAUGGACAAUUUGACCAGACAGUGUGGACCUCAUACCUCCUCUGACUGGCUGAAGUAAUGGUUAAAAUCGCAUUCAGUAUGGUCCUUCACUACUUUUACAAUGAGACCUGAGUCCGAGCCAGCACCUGUACACAGCAUCCAGUCGACGCUAUCAACUGCCUUUUCUCUCAGGAGAGUGACAGGAGUCCACGUGGAGUGAGCAUGGAGAGAGAUCCAUUCCAAACGUCUCAUGUUGCUGGUAUACUGCUUGGCAAAUGGACAAGACAUAAGGGGUGGUAAAAGGUGGAUCCGGCCCAGGUGAGACAUCAGUCUGUUUGGGGAAACUCUGAUUAUUCCUCAGACAUUGGGAGAUUAUUAUAGCCCAUCCACUUUGAAUAUGUGCCAUUGGGAAGUCAAACUUUAAAGCUGAAAAUGAAGAAAGAUUGAGUGCCAGGGAGGGGGGUGGUCAACUGUGCCCGUAAUUGAUUAGGCUUGUCCAAAAUUGUUACUUGGGGUAUCGGGUUGAUUGUGGAGGUCUACACAGUGUGAAAUGUAUAGUAAAUUACACUAAGAAUGCAUUGCGAUACUGAUCUGUAAUUAUAACCGUGAUGAGAAAGUUAAUGCUAGAAUUAUGGAUAAUUACACUGUAUUUGAAUGUAAAUGUACAUUCUGCUAGUGCCGAUGUGUGCUAGGUUGAGGGUUUCAACUUUGAGUGAUAGAACCAACGUGAAUCACUGAGCAAUGUCAUUCUAAAUUUGGGUUGAAUAAUAAUGGAUGUUAUGGUAUGUUAUGCAAAAUAGGUCAACUUUUUUUUACCCCUUUUUUGUGGUAUUCAAUUGUUUAGUCGCUACUAUCUUUCCCUACCGGCCAAAUCCUCCCUAACCCGGACGACACUAGGCCAAUUGUGCGUCGCCCCACAGACCUCCCGGUCGCGGCCGGUUACAACAGAGCCUGGGCGCGAACCCAGGGGUCCCUGAUGGCACAGCUGGCACUGCAGUACAGCUGGCGUCCUUAACCACUGCGCCACCCAGGAAGUAAUGGUUAAAAUAGGUCAACUUUGAGCACCUUAAUCUUUUGUUUUGGCAAAAAAAAUCAAAAGUCACUUUCUGAGCACUUCUACCAUGGGCAAACAUGUAUGGGAAGUUUUGUUUAAAUCAAAAGAGGUGCCGUCAAAAAGUGAUUGAAUUCAAAUGGAUUUACCCUACCUCAACAAAAGGCCAAUUUACUCUUGUGUCCUGACUGCUAUCACCAGAGGACACUGUGUUACUUGUUUGCAUACAUUUACCAUUGGACUGACAAAAGUUAUUAUUCAAGUUGCCAUGUCCAUGAAACUCAGUUGUAUAUUCAUUAUUGUAAUCUAAUUCCUGUUAAUUUUUUGUACAAAUAACAUCCCUGGUUAAUUCUAGGAAUUUAGAAUCUGUCAUAAUGCUUCAAGAUAUAGAGCAGGGGGCCUCCCGAGUGGCGCAGCUGUCUUGUGACACAUCGCAGUGCUAGAGGGAUCACUCCAGAUCCGGGUUUGAUCCCGGGCUGUGUAGCAGCUGGGGAGACCCAUGAGGUGGCGCACAAUUGGCCAAGCGUUGUUUGGGUUAGAGGAGUGUUAGGCGGCUGGGAUGUCCUUGUCCCAUCGGGCUCUAGUGACUCCUUGUGGUGGCUGGGCGCCUGCAUGCUGGCUUUGGUCGCCAGCUGUAUGGCGUUUCCUCUGACACAUUGGUGCAGUUGGCUUCCAGGUUAAGCGAGCAAUGUGUCAAGAACCUGUGCUGCUUGGCGGGGUCGUGUUUUGGAGGACGCAUGGCUCUCGACCUUCGCCUCUCCCGAGUCCGUAUGGAAGUUGCAGCAAUGGGACAAGACUGUAACUACCAAUUGGGGAGAA